rnacentral:rRNA from 2 species
UGAGACAGUUCGGUCCCUAUCCGGCGCGGGCGUAGGAUAUUUGAGAGGAGCUGUCCUUAGUACGAGAGGACCGGGAUGGACGGACCGCUGGUGUAUCUGUUGGGUACCAAGCCCAUGGCAGAGUAGCCAAGUCUGGACGGGAUAAACGCUGAAGGCAUCUAAGCGUGAAGCCCCCCUCAAGAUGAGAUAUCCCAUCGCGUAAGCUAGUAAGACCCCUUGAAGACGACGAGGUAGAUAGGUUAGAGGUGGAAGUGCAGUAAUGUAUGGAGCUGACUAAUACUAAUCGGUCGAGGGCUUAACCAA